rnacentral:rRNA from 1 species
AUACGGAGGGUGCGAGCGUUAAUCGGAAUUACUGGGCGUAAAGGGCGCGUAGGCGGCGAUGUAAGUCAAAUGUGAAAGUCCUCGGCUUAACCGGGGAAGUGCAUCUGAAACUGCAUUGUCUGAGUAUGGGAGAGGAAAGUGGAAUUCCCGGUGUAGAGGUGAAAUUCGUAGAGAUCGGGAGGAAUACCGGUGGCGAAGGCGACUUUCUGGACCAAUACUGACGCUGAGGCGCGAAAGCGUGGGGAGCAAACAGGAUUAGAAACCCUAGUAGUCC